rnacentral:misc_RNA from 1 species
CCGCAGUCACGGCUUCCUAGAUUAGGAUUCCUUGUCUUCCGAUCGGCAUUGCGACGCGAAUACGUCCGUUGAAUUGACCUAGUGCGUGACGGGAGAUUUUCUUUUUUGAAAUUCGCGCCACGGGUUCAUGCUAAUAAUAACGGUACUACAACUUCCAUGGCAUACUACCCGUCUUGUGUCGUCUUUAUCGCCAGUGAUAUGUGACAAAACACCCUGUCGAUAAAAAGUCACAAGUUAGUUUGUAAAUGAUGUCAUCAAGGUUGGUUAGGAUCAGGGCAAGAAUGAAUCAAUAGCGAAAGACAGCAAGCGCUAAGUUUACUAGGUAUGCUUGGCACCGCUGAUUGAUAAUGGUGUCCUAAUAUGGGUCGAGCAUGGCUACAAAUUGGAGCUGCUGUGUUUUUCUUGAUUACCAUGAGAAUUUGUUGUGCUGAUAACGACAUGAAUUUUCCGUCUUCGAGAUAUCAUAACAAAGUGAAAAGAUGGGUGCAAUGCUCCACCGCUGGAACUAGAAAUCAGAGAUCAAAAACGUACAUAAGAUUCGCCGAAGGAAAAUCAGACAAAGAAAUUCUCGAUGACUUGUUGAAACCAUCCCGAUAUGACAGGCGUCUGUUGCCUCCAGUUACAGGUUCACUAGUUGUAAAUAUGAGUGUGUUACUUCUAAGUUUAGCAUCCCCUGACGAAUCAAGUUUGAAAUACGAAGUAGAAUUUUUACUGCAACAACAAUGGUACGACCCACGAUUGAAAUACACAAACCAAAGCAAGUUCGACUACUUGAACGCCAUCCAUCAUCACGAAUUUAUGUGGCUGCCGGACACCUAUUUCAUUAUGCAUGGGGACUUUAAAGAACCUCUCAUUCCCGUACAUUUCGCCCUCAGGAUAUAUAGAAAUGGUACCGUGCAUUAUGUCAUGAGGCGUCAUCUCAUUUUGUCGUGUCAAGGUCGAUUAAACGUUUUCCCAUUUGACGAUCCAAAGUGCGUAUUUGCCAUGGAAAGUAUUUCAUACGAACAAUCUUUAAUUAAAUACGUAUGGAAAAACGACGAAACAACGCUGAGAAAGUCGCCGAGUUUGACAACCCUAAACGCGUACCUUAUUUCUAACAAAACCAUCGACUGUCCCACCAAGGCAAGCUGGAGGGAGAACUUCAGCUGCCUGAGGGUAGAAUUAGAGUUCACCCGUGACAGAGCGUUUUAUUUUACAACCGUGUUCAUCCCAGGAAUUAUACUGGUCACUUCUUCGUUUAUUACGUUUUGGUUAGAAUGGAACGCUGUUCCAGCUAGAGUAAUGAUAGGUGUAACUACAAUGCUCAACUUUUUCACUACAUCGAAUGGUUUUCGAUCGACAUUACCUGUUGUGUCCAAUUUAACCGCCAUGAAUGUAUGGGAUGGCGUUUGUAUGUGUUUCAUAUACGCAUCAUUGUUGGAGUUUGUUUGUGUGAAUUACGUUGGAAGAAAGAGGCCUUUACAUAACGUAGUCUAUAGGCCAGGGGAAAACCCCUUUACCCAGAAAGGUGUAACCCGAACUUUGUUUGAUCUGUCAUGUUGCAGCGACUGCCCGCUGUUCUAAGCAGGAUAGGCAUUAUACUCGCCAGUCCCUUGGGUGACAAGAAAAGGGACUCCAAUGUACCCAACGAAAUAGUCGCCUGUAGCACGUGCGGAGCCAGCACUUGUACGCACACCGCAAAUAACGGAUGUCCCACAGAGGCAUGUAUUUUACAGGUUCGCAAGAAGGAGCCCCCCCAUCCCAUACGUGUGGCAAAAACAAUAGACGUUAUAGCACGUGUAACGUUCCCAUCUGCCUUUGC